GAUUAGAGGGAGAGAGAAGAGGAGAGAGCCAAGGAGGAGCCGGGUCUGUCGGAUCUUCUUCAACAUUAUAUAUUUGCAGCAACCAGUUCAUCUUUGGUUAAUCUCCAGGUACUUUAAUUCUAUAAUUUCUAAGUUUUUAUUUAAUAUCCAUAUUUACUUUUAAGUUAUUUAUUGGAUUUUCGCUCGCAUCGAGUACUCUAGUUCUUAGCGGCGCUAGAGUAGUAAUUAAUAGGUUAAGUGUGGUGCUUAGUCUUGAUAUUACCUGGAUUUGCACCCAAUCUAGCGUAUUGUUGUGGUAGCCCUAGGAUCGUGACAGUCCUGACGGCCAACGCAUUCCACCACGUUCGGAUUGGUGUUGUUGGACCGUAGUCAGAGCUUCCUAGCCCCUAUCUCAUCUCUUUUUGUGGUUAGUGUUCUGAUGUCCCAAGAUAAGUAACCUUAGAGUAAAUUAUGAUUCCUAGAUCAACCUAUAGAACUCUUAGGAAAAUUCCUCUCUACCCUACAAAAUUAUAAAUAUAGUUAUCCUUGGGCGAUCUAAAUCUUAACUAGUACACUUCGCGUCCCCCGUGGAAAAUCGAUAUCUUGGAAUACUCCCGGGUGAAAGCUACAUCAGUAUCCGUACACUUGUGGAUUUUUCUGUGUGUGUUUAAAAUAUCCAACAAUGUUCAUGCAUAUAAUGUCCUAAUGGGAUAUUGUACAUUGAUUGAGCCAAAAUUUAGACUACAUGUAUUGUUUACCAAGAUUUAUACACCAUAUCUACAAUUUAUUUUUGUGACAUGGAUUAACACACAAGGUAGCUAAUACUCCCUCCAUUCAUUUAUCUCCAUCAUUUUAGCCUUCAGCGCAAUGACCAAGAAACAAAGCAAAAAACACUCACUUUACAUUUAAUCUCCCAGGUUGAGCGCACAUGAGGAGUCACAUGCAAGAAACAACCAAUAAACGGCAAAGAGGCAAUAAAUGCAGGUGAGUGGUAGCAAAUGAGUAACAAGGGAGCAAUAAAUGUAGGCAACUUCCAAGCUAACAUAAAGAAGAUUUUUGAAUAAAAAAUUUUUGCUUAGAUGAAGGAGAUAAAUGAAUGGAGG
rnacentral:lncRNA from 1 species